rnacentral:rRNA from 1 species
GACAGAGGGGGCAAGCGUUGUCCGGACUGACUGGGCGUAAAGCGCGCGCAGGCGGUCAGAGGCGUCGGUGCUCAAAGUCCACCGCUUAACGGUGGGAGGCGUGCCGAUACGCUCUGACUGGAGGGCGGGCGAGGGUGGUGGAAUUGCCGGUGUAGUGGUGAAAUGCGUAGAUAUCGUAAGGAAGACCAGUGGCGAAGGCGGGGUCUCUGGACAGUUCCUGACGCUGAGGCACGAAGGCCAGGGGGAGCAAACGGG